AUACGUAGGGGGCGAGCGUUGUCCGGAAUGAUUGGGCGUAAAGGGCGCGUAGGCGGCCUGUUAAGUCUGGAGUGAAAGUCCUGUUUUCAAGAUGGGAAUUGCUUUGGAUACUGAUGGGCUUGAGUGCAGGAGAGGUUAUCGGAAUUCCCGGUGUAGCGGUGAAAUGCGUAGAGAUCGGGAGGAACACCAGUGGCGAAGGCGGGUAACUGGACUGCAACUGACGCUGAGGCGCGAAAGUGUGGGGAGCAAACAGGAUUAGAUACCCUGGUAGUCCACACUGUAAACGAUGAAUGCUAGGUGUAAGAGGUAUCGACCCCUUUUGUGCCGGAGUUAACACAAUAAGCAUUCCGCCUGGGGAGUACGGCCGCAAGGUUGAAACUCAAAUGAAUUGACGGGGG
rnacentral:rRNA from 1 species